rnacentral:rRNA from 1 species
GACGAACGCUGGCGGCGUGCUUAACGCAUGCAAGUCGAGCGGUAAGGCCCUUUCGGGGGUACACGAGCGGCGAACGGGUGAGUAACACGUGGGUGACCUGCCCUCAGCUCUGGGAUAAGCCUGGGAAACCGGGUCUAAUACUGGAUAUGACUCCAUGACGCAUGUUGUGGGGUGGAAAGCCUUGUGCGGCUGAGGAUGGGCCCGCGGCCUAUCAGCUUGUUGGUGGGGUGAUGGCCUACCAAGGCGACGACGGGUAGCCGGCCUGAGAGGGCGACCGGCCACACUGGGACUGAGACACGGCCCAGACUCCUACGGGAGGCAGCAGUGGGGAAUCUUGCGCAAUGGGCGAAAGCCUGACGCAGCGACGCCGCGUGAGGGAUGACGGCCUCAGUGUAACUCUUCAGCUCGACGAAGCGAGAGUGACGGUAGGAGCGAGAAGAA